rnacentral:rRNA from 1 species
AACGAACGCUGGCGGCAGGCCUAACACAUGCAAGUCGAACGCCCCGCAAGGGGAGUGGCAGACGGGUGAGUAACGCGUGGGAACAUACCCUUUGGUUCGGAAUAACUCAGGGAAACUUGAGCUAAUACCGGAUAAGUCCGCGAGGAGAAAGAUUCAUCGCCGAAGGAUUGGCCCGCGUUCGAUUAGCUAGUUGGUGAGGUAACGGCUCACCAAGGCGACGAUCGAUAGCUGGUCUGAGAGGAUGAUCAGCCACAUUGGGACUGAGACACGGCCCAAACUCCUACGGGAGGCAGCAGUGGGGAAUAUUGGACAAUGGGCGCAAGCCUGAUCCAGCCAUGCCGCGUGAGUGAUGAAGGCCCUAGGGUUGUAAAGCUCUUUCGUCAGGGACGAUAAUGACGGUACCUGAAGAAGAAGCCCCGGCUAACUUCGUGCCAGCCGCCGCCGUAACAC